rnacentral:misc_RNA from 1 species
GGAAGAGCUUUCAACACUCAAGAGAUCGGAAGAAACUGAAAUCACACAGAGCCCAAAUUUUUCAAUAGCUUUUAGUACUAUCAGAUAAUGGCUAGAUACGACAGAGCGAUCACCGUUUUCUCGCCGGACGGCCACUUAUUCCAAGUGGAGUACGCCAUGGAAGCCGUACGCAAAGGAAACGCCGCCGUCGGUGUACGUGGAACUGACACUGUUGUCCUCGGCGUCGAGAAGAAGUCCACUCCCAAGCUUCAAGACUCCAGGUCAGUAAGAAAGAUAGUGAAUCUAGAUGAUCACAUUGCGUUGGCGUGUGCUGGGCUGAAAGCAGAUGCACGAGUUCUUGUGAAUAAAGCACGCAUUGAGUGUCAGAGUCAUAGG